rnacentral:tRNA from 1 species
GGGGCCGUAGCUCAAUCGGUUAGAGUGUCGGACUGUCGAUCCGAAGGUUGCGGGUUCAAGUCCCGUCGGCCUCG